rnacentral:rRNA from 1 species
UACGUAGGGGGCAAGCGUUGUCCGGAAUCAUUGGGCGUAAAGAGCGUGUAGGCGGCCUGGUAAGUCCGCUGUGAAAGUCCAGGGCUCAACCCUGGAAUGCCGGUGGAAACUGUCAGGCUCGAGUCCGGAAGAGGCGAGUGGAAUUCCUGGUGUAGCGGUGAAAUGCGCAGAUAUCAGGAGGAACACCAAUGGCGAAGGCGACUACCUGGCCUGUUCUUGACGCUGAGGCGCGAAAGCUAGGGGAGCAAACGGG